rnacentral:lncRNA from 1 species
AGAGUUGCUCCUAUCUACCAAAUUUCAUGGUGAUCCGAGGUUUGACAUCCGAGAUAUGUGUUUUCAAAGCAAGGCGACUUGAGCUGCCUAGGCAGCAGACCCCCUUCUACUUAAAAAUUCACUAAAAAUAAUUUAAUAGUUUAAAAUUGACAAAUAUAAUUUUUCCUAAAACCACACUUAGUAGAUUUCUUUUUAAAAUAAAUUCUAUCAAAAAAAAUGCAAGUAAGUACUAAGAUAAUUGUUUUCAAAACUGGUUGUUCAAUACUACCGAAGCAGCAAAUUCUUUUGCAUUUAAAAAUUCAUUAAAAGUUUAAUAUAGAUUAGAAAUUAGUGAUUUAAAUUUUAUAGUAAAUUAAGCUUUAAAUUGCAUUCAUUU